rnacentral:rRNA from 1 species
CACCCGCGCCACGAGUGGUAGCCACAUUUAUUGGGUCUAAAGCGUUCGUAGCCGGUCAGGUAAAUUCACUGUGAAAUUGUAAGGCUUAACCUUACAGUGUGCAGUGGACACUGCCAGACUAGGGACCGGGAGGAGCUAGAGGUAUUCUUGGGGGAGCGGUAAAAUGCUAUAAUCCCAAGAGGACCACCUGUGGCGAAAGCGUCUAGCUAGAACGGAUCCGACGGUGAGGAACGAAAGCUGGGGGAGCAAUCCG